rnacentral:rRNA from 1 species
UACGAAGGGGGCUAGCGUUGCUCGGAAUCACUGGGCGUAAAGGGUGCGUAGGCGGGUCUUUUAAGUCAGGGGUGAAAUCCUGGAGCUCAACUCCAGAACUGCCUUUGAUACUGAAGAUCUUGAGUUCGGGAGAGGUGAGUGGAACUGCGAGUGUAGAGGUGAAAUUCGUAGAUAUUCGCAAGAACACCAGUGGCGAAGGCGGAUCUCUGGACAGCUCCUGACGCUGAGGCGCGAAGGCUAGGGGAGCAAACGGGG